UACGUAGGUGGCAAGCGUUAUCCGGAUUUAUUGGGCGUAAAGGGACGCAGGCGGUCUUUUAAGUCUGAUGUGAAAGCCUUCGGCUUAACCGGAGUAGUGCAUUGGAAACUGGGAGACUUGAGUGCAGAAGAGGAGAGUGGAACUCCAUGUGUAGCGGUGAAAUGCGUAGAUAUAUGGAAGAACACCAGAGGCGAAAGCGGCUCUCUGGUCUGUAACUGACGCUGAGGUUCGAAAGCGUGGGUAGCAAACAGG
rnacentral:rRNA from 1 species